ensembl:lncRNA
AUGCGAGUCCAAGGUGCUUCACUCUCCUCACCUGCCGUAGCUGACUCUACAGGGGCCAUGUUCUACACAGGGGAUGCCCUGAGCUCCCGUGAAGAGAGCCAAGGCUUUCAUCUCUCCCGCCUCACCAUCUCCUCGCUUGCAGUAAGCUGCUUAAGUCUCCAUGUCUGGCCGGCGCCGCGCCUCACUAGGCUAAUCCUCUGCCUUGCGGCACCAGCACACCGGGUUCUAGUCCCGGUCGGGGCGCCGGAUUCUGUCCCGGUUGCCCCUCUUCCAGGCCAGCUCUCUGCUGUGGCCAGGGAGUGCAGUGGAGGAUGGCCCAAGUCCUUGGGCCCUGUACCCCAUGGGAGACCAGGAGAAGUAUCCAGACUAUGCUGAGGAGGUGGACCCAUCUGCAGCCCAGCAGAGGCCCUGGCUCAGCGUCCGGGCCUGCAUGUGAACUCUGAAACCCUGCCAGCAGCCAGCUCAGCCUUCUCAGUUUCCAGAGGGAAUUGAACCUCUGGAAUCUGGCUAGAGGCCCCAGCACAGCCCAGACAGGCCUUUGAGGAUGUGAAACCUCCAGUCCAGCUAGGGAGCCGCGCUGAAAUCCAGAAUCUCCUAUGGAGAGUAUAGCUCAGACUCCACCAGGUCAUGGGGUGACAGUGCAACCCCGAGCUCAGGACCACACUUGUCUUUUUGACUUGCCCAUGUUACACUUAAGCCUGCAGAUGUGGGGGUUGCCAUAACCUCAGCGCCUACCAAGGAGGCUGAAUCUUCUCCACUUAGGAGGCGGCCCCUGCUCAGACCCCAGGCCCUCCCUUGGAGACAGAACCUUCUCUCACUGGACAGCAGUGGUCAGCUCAGCGUGCUUAUUCUCCCAAGGAGGCUGAGCCUUCUCUAACCCAACAUGCACACCAGCUCAGACUCAGGCCCUCCGGUGGAGACAGAACCUUCUUCCAGGGAGCAGGGGCAACCGGGUGAGCCUCUGAGUACUCUGGGGAGGUUGAACCUUCUGGAAGCCGCUUCAGCCUCCAGAGCACACUGAUGAGAUGGAACCUUCUCCAGCCCAGCAGCAGAAGCCAGCCCAGUCUCCAUAGCCCAGAGCAUCAGGAGGUGACAGGAGCACCUUCAGGUCACCAUCAGUCAUGGCUUUCAGCUUUGCCAACGUGCCUAUAAACCUCCGGAUCUGCAGCUGCCACAUCAUCAGAGCCUACUGCAGAGGUGGGAACUUCUCUAAUGUGCCACGAGGCGACAGCUCAGCCCUCCGCCCCAGUUAAUGAUGUGGAACCUUCUGCGACCCAGCAUGAGGUCCUACAGAGCUUCCCGAGGAGUUGGGUUGUUGCUACUCAACAGAGGCUAUAGCUUAAUAGCCAGAGGUUUCCAGGAUAAAUAACCCUCUUCAAUCCAGUAGGAGACCAUGGCUGAGAACUCAGAUGAGGAGGUUGGACUUUCUCCAAUCCAGAGGGAAACCCCAGGUCUUCCUUCAGAAAUCACUAACGGCCGGUGCCGCGGCUCACUAGGCUAAUCCUCCGCUUUGCGGUGCCGGCACACCGGGUUCUUGUCCUGGUCGGGGCGCCGGAUUCUGUCCUGGUUGCCCCUCUUCCAGGCCAGCUCUCUGCUGUGGCCUGGGAGUGCAGUGGAGGAUGGCCCAAGUGCUUGGGCCCUGCACCCCAUGGGAGACCAGGAGAAGCACCUGGCUCCUGCCAUCGGAUCAGCACGGUGCGCCAGCUGCGGCGGCCAUUGGAGGGUGAACCAACAGCAAAGGAAGACUUUUCUCUCUGUCUCUCUCUCUCACUGUCCACUCUGCCUGCAUUAAAAAAAAAAAAUCACUAACGAAGUUGUAGCUCAACCUCCAGAGCGUCGUGAGACAACAGCUUCCCUCCGUGUCACGGCAGUAUCAGCAUCUGACAGCACACAGUCACUGGUGUGCCAGAGCUCACAAAUGAGGUCGAAACUUCAACCCAGAGGCCAGCGCUGUGGCACAGCAUGUGAAGGCACUGUCUGCAGUUCUGGCAUCCCCUGUGGACGCUGGUUUGAAUCAUGACGGCUUCACUUCUGAUUCAGCUCACUGUUAAUGCACCUGGUAAAGCAACGGAGGGUGGCUCAGGUGCUUCGGCUCCUGCACCCAUAUGGCAGACUUGGACGAAACUCCGACCAGCCCCGGCUAUUGCUGUCUUUUGGGGAAUGAACCAGUGGAUGGAAGAUUCUCUGUCUCUCCCUCUCUUUGUAAUUCUGUCUUUCAAAUAAAUGAGUAAAUCUUAAAAAAAAAAAAAAAAAA